GCCCCGUGGGCAGCCAGGAGCAGGAUCCCUGUGCUCCAGGAGCAGAUCCAGCCCCUCCUGAGGAGACCUCCAGGAAUCCUGAGAUCCAGGAGCACCGUGAGGUGGAGCCGUGCAGUGUCCCCAAGGCUGGCAGCGGUCACGGGUCCCCUCCCCGGAGCCCGGCAGCCCCUGCAGACCCUGCCAGGAGGGAAAUCCUGGGGUGCAGCUGCUCUGGGGCGGCAGAGCUCAGCCCUCCUUCCUGUGGCGCUGGGGAAACUGAGGCACGAGCUGCCCAGGCUGGGGCUGUGUGUGGCCAGCAGCAGCUCAGCUCAGAGCCCCCCUCGCCAUUCCCAGCUGGAAUCGAUUCCCGCUCUGCUGCUGUGCUCAGGAGGAAGGCAAAGAUCGAGCUGUCGUACCAGCAGUUCAGCCUGAGCAUCGCCGUGGUGGCCACGAUGCUGCUGCACCA
rnacentral:lncRNA from 1 species